rnacentral:tRNA from 1 species
GAGGGUAUAGCUCAGUGGUAGAGCACAUGCUUAGCGUGCACGAGGUCCUGGGUUCAAUCCCCAAUACCUCCA